rnacentral:rRNA from 1 species
GCAAGUCGAACGCGAACGUUCUUCUUCGGAGGAACUAGUAGAGUGGCGCACGGGUGAGUAACGCGUAAGUAAUCUACCCUGGUAUCUGGGAUAACCCACCGAAAGGUGUGCUAAUACCGGAUACGCUGAUUUAUCAGGAAAGGUGGCCUCUUCAUGAAAGCUACUGUACUAGGAGGAGCUUGCGUACCAUUAGCUAGUUGGUAGGGUAAUGGCCUACCAAGGCGACGAUGGUUAGCGGGUCUGAGAGGAUGAUC